rnacentral:rRNA from 1 species
GCCUGAAUCAGUGUGUGUGUUAGUGGAAGCGUCUGGAAAGGCGCGCGAUACAGGGUGACAGCCCCGUACACAAAAAUGCACAUGCUGUGAGCUCGAUGAGUAGGGCGGGACACGUGGUAUCCUGUCUGAAUAUGGGGGGACCAUCCUCCAAGGCUAAAUACUCCUGACUGACCGAUAGUGAACCAGUACCGUGAGGGAAAGGCGAAAAGAACCCCGGCGAGGGGAGUGAAAAAGAACCUGAAACCGUGUACGUACAAGCAGUGGGAGCACGCUUAGGCGUGUGACUGCGUACCUUUUGUAUAAUGGGUCAGCGACUUAUAUUCUGUAGCAAGGUUAACCGAAUAGGGGAGCCGAAGGGAAACCGAGUCUUAACUGGGCGUUAAGUUGCAGGGUAUAGACCCGAAACCCGGUGAUCUAGCCAUGGGCAGGUUGAAGGUUGGGUAACACUAACUGGAGGACCGAACCGACUAAUGUUGAAAAAUUAGCGGAUGACUUGUGGCUGGGGGUGAAAGGCCAAUCAAACCGGGAGAUAGCUGGUUCUCCCCGAAAGCUAUUUAGGUAGCGCCUCGUGAAUUCAUCUCCGGGGGUAGAGCACUGUUUCGGCAAGGGGGUCAUCCCGACUUACCAACCCGAUGCAAACUGCGAAUACCGGAGAAUGUUAUCACGGGAGACACACGGCGGGUGCUAACGUCCGUCGUGAAGAGGGAAACAACCCAGACCGCCAGCUAAGGUCCCAAAGUCAUGGUUAAGUGGGAAACGAUGUGGGAAGGCCCAGACAGCCAGGAUGUUGGCUUAGAAGCAGCCAUCAUUUAAAGAAAGCGUAAUAGCUCACUGGUCGAGUCGGCCUGCGCGGAAGAUGUAACGGGGCUAAACCAUGCACCGAAGCUGCGGCAGCGACGCUUAUGCGUUGUUGGGUAGGGGAGCGUUCUGUAAGCCUGUGAAGGUGUGCUGUGAGGCAUGCUGGAGGUAUCAGAAGUGCGAAUGCUGACAUAAGUAACGAUAAAGCGGGUGAAAAGCCCGCUCGCCGGAAGACCAAGGGUUCCUGUCCAACGUUAAUCGGGGCAGGGUGAGUCGACCCCUAAGGCGAGGCCGAAAGGCGUAGUCGAUGGGAAACAGGUUAAUAUUCCUGUACUUGGUGUUACUGCGAAGGGGGGACGGAGAAGGCUAUGUUGGCCGGGCGACGGUUGUCCCGGUUUAAGCGUGUAGGCUGGUUUUCCAGGCAAAUCCGGAAAAUCAAGGCUGAGGCGUGAUGACGAGGCACUACGGUGCUGAAGCAACAAAUGCCCUGCUUCCAGGAAAAGCCUCUAAGCAUCAGGUAACAUCAAAUCGUACCCCAAACCGACACAGGUGGUCAGGUAGAGAAUACCAAGGCGCUUGAGAGAACUCGGGUGAAGGAACUAGGCAAAAUGGUGCCGUAACUUCGGGAGAAGGCACGCUGAUAUGUAGGUGAAGUCCCUCGCGGAUGGAGCUGAAAUCAGUCGAAGAUACCAGCUGGCUGCAACUGUUUAUUAAAAACACAGCACUGUGCAAACACGAAAGUGGACGUAUACGGUGUGACGCCUGCCCGGUGCCGGAAGGUUAAUUGAUGGGGUCAGCGCAAGCGAAGCUCUUGAUCGAAGCCCCGGUAAACGGCGGCCGUAACUAUAACGGUCCUAAGGUAGCGAAAUUCCUUGUCGGGUAAGUUCCGACCUGCACGAAUGGCGUAAUGAUGGCCAGGCUGUCUCCACCCGAGACUCAGUGAAAUUGAACUCGCUGUGAAGAUGCAGUGUACCCGCGGCAAGACGGAAAGACCCCGUGAACCUUUACUAUAGCUUGACACUGAACAUUGAGCCUUGAUGUGUAGGAUAGGUGGGAGGCUUAGAAGUGUGGACGCCAGUCUGCAUGGAGCCGACCUUGAAAUACCACCCUUUAAUGUUUGAUGUUCUAACGUUGACCCGUAAUCCGGGUUGCGGACAGUGUCUGGUGGGUAGUUUGACUGGGGCGGUCUCCUCCUAAAGAGUAACGGAGGAGCACGAAGGUUGGCUAAUCCUGGUCGGACAUCAGGAGGUUAGUGCAAUGGCAUAAGCCAGCUUGACUGCGAGCGUGACGGCGCGAGCAGGUGCGAAAGCAGGUCAUAGUGAUCCGGUGGUUCUGAAUGGAAGGGCCAUCGCUCAACGGAUAAAAGGUACUCCGGGGAUAACAGGCUGAUACCGCCCAAGAGUUCAUAUCGACGGCGGUGUUUGGCACCUCGAUGUCGGCUCAUCACAUCCUGGGGCUGAAGUAGGUCCCAAGGGUAUGGCUGUUCGCCAUUUAAAGUGGUACGCGAGCUGGGUUUAGAACGUCGUGAGACAGUUCGGUCCCUAUCUGCCGUGGGCGCUGGAGAACUGAGGGGGGCUGCUCCUAGUACGAGAGGACCGGAGUGGACGCAUCACUGGUGUUCGGGUUGUCAUGCCAAUGGCACUGCCCGGUAGCUAAAUGCGGAAGAGAUAAGUGCUGAAAGCAUCUAAGCACGAAACUUGCCCCGAGAUGAGUUCUCCCUGACUCCUUGA